rnacentral:rRNA from 2 species
GCUAGGGAGUGGGAGAGGUAGACGGUACUCGGUAGGAAGGGGUAAAAUCCUUUGAUCUAUCGAUGACCACCUGUGGCGAAGGCGGUCUACCAGAACACGUUCGACGGUGAGGGAUGAAAGCUGGGGGAGCAAACCGGAUUAGAUACCCGGGUAGUCCCAGCUGUAAACGAUGCAGACUCGAUAAUGCAUUGGCAUAUAGCCAGUGCAGUGUCGCAGGGAAGCCGUUAAGUCUGCCGCCUGGGAAGUACGUACGCAAGUAUGAAACUUAAAGGAAUUGGCGGGGGAGCACCACAAGGGGUGAAGCCUGCGGUUCAAUUGGAGUCAACGCCAGAAAUCUUACCCGGAGAGACAGCAGAAUGAAGGUCAGGCUGAAGACCUUACCAGACAAGCUGAGAGGUGGUGCAUGGCCGUCGUCAGCUCGUGCCGUGAGAUGUCCUGUUAAGUCAGGUAACGAGCGAGAUCCCUACCACUAGUUGCUAUCACUACUCUCAGGAGUAGUGGAGCGAAUUAGUGGGACCGCUGUAGUAAUAUGGAGGAAGGAAGGGGCCACGGCAGGUCAGUAUGCCCCGAAACUCUGGGGCCACACGCGGGCUGCAAUGGUAGUGACAAUGGGUUCCUAACUCGAAAGAGUGCGGUAAUCCUUAAACGCUACCACAGUUAUGACUGAGGGCUGAAACUCGCCCUCACGAAUAUGGAAUCCCUAGUAACUGCGUGUCAUUACCGCGCGGUGAAUACGUCCCUGCUCCUUGCACACACCGCCCGUCGUUUCAUCGAAGUUUGCUUUUAGCGAGGUGAUGUUUAAUUGACAUCAUCGAACUUGAGGUAAGCAACGAGGGAAAAGUCGUAACAAGGUAGCCGUA